rnacentral:rRNA from 1 species
CCUUAUGCUUAGGGCUACACACGUGCUACAAUGGGUAGUACAGAGGGUUGCCAAGCCGUAAGGUGGAGCUAAUCCCUUAAAGCUACUCUCAGUUCGGAUUGUAGGCUGAAACUCGCCUACAUGAAGCUGGAGUUACUAGUAAUCGCAGAUCAGAAUGCUGCGGUGAAUGCGUUCCCGGGUCUUGUACACACCGCCCGUCACACCACGGGAGUUGGAGACGCCCGAAGCCGAUUAUCUAACCUUUUGGAAGAAGUCGUCGAAGGUGGAAUCAAUAACUGGGGUGAAGUCGUAACAAGGUAGCCGUAUCGGAAGGUGCGGCUGGAUCACCUCCUUUCUAAGGAGA